rnacentral:lncRNA from 1 species
CAGUAGGAACAGCUAAAGACGGAAGUUCCCUGGGGGAACAGACUCUUGGAGGCAGCAAAAAGCCAUGGCUUCAUUGGCAACUCUCUCUGCGUCAGAGCUGUGUGCUACCAUACAUGGAAGAUGGAUCAUGUGGAACAAGAGCUGCUGCUGUGCUUUUGUCUUCCUCCAGUCUCCCCUUUGUGCCACCAGGAAUGCUUAGUGUGUGACAGCCUCAAUGCUGACUUGUCUCCUGGUAAUAACUUGUGUGCUAUUUGGAAUGCCUUCACCAUGCAUCUUGCAUCAGCUGAGAGACUGCCACCUGGCCCUUCAGAUCCCUACUCAAGCUGACUAUACUCACUGAUCAUGGAAAAGGUGACCUCGGAUGGACACACUGAAACCCACUGCUUGUUCGUGUACAAGACAAAGGAGAAGACGCUUGUGAAAUACAUGGUGAAUUCAUCCAGCUCUGUGCUCCUGUUCCCUUCUCUUAUUCCUCCUUCCCAUCCUCUCUUCUUAUGUUCUUUGUCCACUUGUUGCAUCUUGUUGCCAGUUAACCUGUCAGUUCUUUAAGAUGAGGAUAAUCUUUCCUAAAUAUUGUACUUACUCAGCGUGACGGAAGCUUAAGAACCUCUGGGCUCUCAUGUAAUGAACACAAUAUAUAAUAAUAAGAAGAUGUCAUUGAAAAAUGAGCCUGGUACUGUGCAGAAUAAUUGAGAAUAAUGUUAGUUUUGAAUAGGAACACUUUUUUUUUGUUCAGAGGUAUAUGCAUUUUGUCAGAAAUAACAUAAUUUUCAGAAUGCUCAGAUUUGCAAUUUUCCCCCUUCAUUUCUUUCAGUUUCUUUUCUAUUUCAUUUUUUU